CCUCCGCCAGCUGAGAGACCUGAGCAAUUCACCCCGGUCUGUCUCAGCCUCAGUUCCCUGGGCUGUUGAGUGGUUUCCAAGGGCCAGCCGGGUUGCAGCGGCCCUGUGAUUCGGAGCACUCCCCUCUCUUGCCAGCUGGGCAGGCCCUAGAGCACUCCUUCCUCUCUUCUCCACUCAUCCCUGGGUUGCUUAUCCUUUCUGCCUUGCAGCCCUCCACCCGUCCCAUGCAGUCCGUCCCCUGCGGCAGGAAUGGAAUGCUGACUCCAGUAGUGGGCUCAGAGGGAAAGGUCAUCAGAGGAAUUGUCUGGUGGCAAGGUCUCUCCCUGGCGUAACAAGGAAGGGCUUCCUGAGAGAGGUAGGGGCCGCGGUCCAGAUCUAGGAGCUGGCUUUUCCAGGUCAGCAUUAACAGGAUGCUCAAGUGUGGUGUGAUGUGGACAAUCCUGGGCCUCAAAGAUCUCAACUUCACCAGCUCCCACCUCAGCUGGGGGCCAUUAGGUGGUCCUGGGGGAGGGACUCCCGACCAAGUAAGCCCUGCUAGGCCUUCUAGAUGUGUCUUCAGGACCCCUUAUUUCUAAAGAAUCCCUCAGGAGUCAUUGGGGCAGGGUGGGGGGGAGGAUGUUCCUUCAGUGGGGCUCUAGCCUUUCUCUGGUCCACAGUUGCUCUAAUCUGUUUUUCGUGUUGGUUUUUCUUUUGCUGUUUCCUUUCAAGAAGGGAUUUGUUGGUUAAAAAUUUAGAAUUCAAAACACCCGUCCAACUAUGAAAUUGGCUAAUAAAAACAUGAAGGGUUGUUCUGAGGAUCAGAUGAAUCAAUGCAUGGAAAGCACUUUGCAUUUAAAGACACGUGAGCUAUGAAUACUGGAGAUGGAAAGCCUGAGGAGGGGAGGGCUUGCCAGCAGCUCCGGAGCAAGGUGUGGCAGGGCCCUGUCCUCUGGUCCCUGUCAGAGCCGUCAGAAGUCCUCCGCAGCCUCCUCCCUGGAGCCAGAGGACCUCAGGGCCUCUGCUGCCAGCUUUGUGGUGAAGACAGGAGUUUGGAGUGGGUUUUCCCACGUCUGGAGCUCAUGUAAGACAAGCGCCCGGUUCCCAUCUGGGAAGGGAGUUUCGAGGUGGCCUGUCACACGGUGCGAUGUGCCCCUGCUGCCCCAAUGGAUGUCAGAGCCUGCUUCCAGCUUUGUGCCAAAGCCGCGGGUGGAGGGCUGCUGUCUGCCAUCCCCUCAGCUGGCUUUCCAGGGCCCACAGGCCGGGACUCCCAGUUCUGUGCCCUAGACACCCUUCCUUUGUUGUUUUCCCCGAUGUGGUCAGUCUCUUAGGGCCUUGCUGUGGUCUUAAUGUGUCAGGUGCUGAUGACUUAGCCACCUGGGAGGCUGGUACACAUACAGAGGGCAUGUGGGUGCUUUAGUCCACCAGCUCAGGCCUGCCUAUCCCGAGUCAGGGUGAGUGGGGUCCUGAGAUGUGUCCCCACCCCACAGCCUCUCCCCUGCUUAGCCUUCUCAGUCCAACUUCCCUUUUUCACCUACAGGCCUUCCUGAGCUUGCCCUGGCCCACCUGCUGGCCAUCCCCUUUCCUGUGGUCUGCCAAAUCUGCUGCCCUUCCAGAAUGUCCCACGCAUGAUCUCUUCAUUCUGUGGCCUUGCUGUUCUCAGAGUGGCCCUUACCUGACCUCUUUCCCUCCUGGACCACCAAGAUCCAGGAUGGCUUCAGGCCUUGGGAAACCCCGAUCUCUAGGGGACUGGUGACCCUUCUCUGACCUCCCAUGGCCUCAGGGAAUUUGUUCCUCUCACAGGACUCAUUUCACUGGCUUGAGUCUGGCCCUGGCUCUCCUCAUGAGAUUUGAGCUGCAGACACCCUGCCAGUGCUUGUGUCCUAGCACGUGCUUGAGAAGUGCUGGUCGAGUGUGUGAGUGAACACUUUGGAACACUCCUGCCCAGACCCAGUGGUUCCCUUCCCCCGUCUCCUCUGAGCAGUGUGGAGCCAGCAUCUGGAGCCUGCCCUCACUGCCAGCACCCCAGGCCCUGUGCCGUCCACUGCUGGGCCUGGGUGGUCUGUCCUCAGCUCAGGUAGGAGUCAUUAGUUUCCAAGGCUGCCGCAACAAAUUGCCGGCAAACUUAGCGGCUUAAAACAAUGGCCACUUACUGCCUCACGGUUUCUGUAAGGGGUCUGGGCACAGGGCGGCUUGGGCGGCUCAGCCGGUCUCUGUGUCUCACGGGUGUCGGCAGGGCUGCUUCCCUUCCGGAGGCUCUGGCGGUCAAUCUAUUUCCAAGUUCGUUAAGCUUGUUGGCAGAAUUUGUUCCCUUGGAGUUGUGGGACUGAGCAUCCUGUGUCCUUGCUAGCUGCCAGCGGGGGUCAUUCUCAGCCACCUUCACUUCCUGGCUUGUGCCCUCCCCUCCUCCCUGCCCUCAGAGCCGCCUAUGGCGGAUGGAGUUCUCAAGCUUUCCAGUCCCCAACUGACACUUCUGCUUCAUUUCUCUUCUGCCGCCCUUUUCUGUUUUUAAGGGCUCAUGUGAUUACAUUGGACCCAGCCAGAUAAUCCAGGAUAAUCUCUCUAUUUUAAGGUCAACCUAUUGGUAAACUUCAUUCCAUCUGCAAAGUCCCUUCACAACAGCAUCUCGAUUAGCAUUUGAAUGAGCAGAGAACCCAUGGGAAUACUGGGGCAUCUUUAUUUUUUUUGUAAUUUUUAAAAAAAUAGGCUCCAUGCCCAAUGUAGGGUUUGAACUCAUGACCCUGAGAUCAAGAGUCACAUGUUCUACUGACAGAGCCAGCCGGGGGCAUCUUUAGUUCUGCUCAGUCCCAGCAAUCAGGCCCAGUGUGGCUCUUCCUCCUCGGAGCUCCACGAGGGCCACUGCUCUGGGAGAGCCGGGGUUUCCACAGGGAGCACUUAGCCAAGUGCCCUCCUCACACAGACCAGGAUGACAGUGCUGGGUUCCCAGUUGCCCUUGGAGACACCUGGGUGUGCUCAGACUGGGCCACUUCCCCUGAGCAGCUGGUGCCCACGCGGGAGUCAGGAUUGGGCCGUGGUCCCCUGGCCCUUUGCUGAAUGUCCUCUGAGUGGGUAGCUUAGGGCAGGGGAAUGACAGCCUGGGGACAUUUCACUUUCAGACCUAUUUGUGGAUUUGCUCACAUCAGCUUUUUCACAGGAAAGCCCUGGCACAUCUGGCCGGUUUGUGUCCACCUCAGCGCCCACCAUCCCCCCUUGGCCCUCAGUCCCUAAAUGCAACAGGCUUUCACCUCUGCCCCCCUCCCUCUGCCUUUCCCACUGCCAGCCACCCUUCUCCCUCCCCCCGCCCCCCCACCUCCUCAGGGUGCUAUGUGCCAGGGACAUAGACUCCAGAAUCCCUCAGGCCAAGGCAGGAGUUCUGCUGCUGCCUCCAAGCUCUGCGACCUUGACCAUGAAUGGAGCCUCUGGCCCCCAUCUUUGCAAUGGUGAUAACCUGGCAAAGUCCUGCGGAGAAAAUGAAACACUGUACAAAAACCCAGAACAGGCUCAAUCCCCCCCCCCCCCCACCCCAUUGCUGGCCAUUGUUUCUGCCUUGGCAGCAGGUAGAGUGACCCCGCUUUGGCCUGUUUUCCCCGCUGUGCGGUCAGUCACACACCAGGGGAUCGUGACCCUCUGCUCAUCUGGCUGCCCCAGGUGCACCGUGACUCUCCCAAGGGCAGGGCCUCGUCUUUCAUCUCGGGAUCUGCAGCAGCCAGCACAGGCCUGCACUUAGUAAAUGUAUCCGGGAAAAGCACAGGCAGGCGGGAAGGUCGGGGCUGAUGUGGCAUCUUUUCCCCUUGCUGAGUGCAGAGCGAGGCCAGCCCUGUGAGACAAAGCAGCUUAUCUAAGGCCACUGGGUGUCGGGCUUGCAAGGAGCUGUCUCUGGGCUCUCACGAGGACCUCCCCGCGCAUGCCAGCCCCUCAUGCUUGCACUGCACUCGAUAUUUCAAAGCACUGUGUCCUCUGAAGCUAACUUCGAGGGGCUGUGGCAGCAGGGGCACUAACCUCAUUUCCCCGGUGGGGGAAACUGAGGCCCAACACCGUGACCAUAAUUCCCUGCUAAGCCCUGUAUCCCGGCCCUGUUCAUCAGCCCGGUCUGGUGAGAAUGGCCCCACUGAAGAGCCGCACUCUGGUGGGGACCCCUUGAGACUUAGCAGCUAUUCCUUAAUUCCUGUAUUCAUUUCACAAAAUGUUUCAGGUGCCUGCCCUGUGACCCAGUGGGAUGCAGCAGUGAGCAGUUUCUACAGCUUCCCCCGCGCUGGCCCAUCUCAGUGCAGAAACGGGGUCAUUGCUGUCACAAGUUAGGGGUGUGAAUCCACUUCUUCUGAUCGUGGCUGGUCCAGUAAGGGUAAAGAAUUAACUAAUGUUAACGAGGCGAUCCUCAGUCCUGCUCUCACCUGGUUUUGUUGUAAAUUCAGAGACAGUGUGCUGUGGAUGAAUGAUGUGUUUACUGGGACAGGAAUGGACAUUUGUGAAAUUUCAAUCCUAAUUUCACUGUGGAUUGCCUUUCAUUCUUUCAUUGACUGGUGCAGAGUAGCAAAUACAUGCUUCUGUACGUCAUUCAGGGCCAGGCCCUGGAGUUACCCUGUGAACAGUGUGGGGCUCUUGCCUUGCAGGGGCUGUCAGUCUAGCAAUGCAGGAGACAGCACAACAUGGGGACACAAGACACCACAGGAGUGUGGUGCUCCCUGCGUGAAACCUUCAGUGGCUUCUUGUCUCUUGGGAAAAAUCCACAUGCUUUACCACACCCUUCAAGGCUCUGGUUGACUGGCCUCAGCUUAUCUCUCUGGCCUCAUCUUACCACUUGUUGGGCUCCGCACCAGCUUCCUUCUGUUCCUCACUCUCCCAGACCAUUGCUGCCACAGGAGAAGUCAUCGAUUUGUGGGUGGGGCAGACACCUUCAUGGAAAGAUGUCACUCAGAGAGCCUGGGCCCACCCAUACACAAACCACCUGCUCCUCUCUCCACGACUGCUAGGUCCUGGCAUGUGCUAGGCCCUGCGACCCCUGUCCCCAAGGACCGAUUACUCUUCUAUACAAAGGGCACAAACAUGGAGCACUGAACAACCCUGAAAGAGCCAGAGUGAACCAGAGGUCACUGGGCUGAAAGCGACUGAGAGUUAGCCAGAAACUAGAAAGAAGAAGCAGUGGAUAUAAGCUGUAGGGUGAAGGUUGGGGGGCAGCUAGGUGAUCUGGGGAGAAGGCUGUACUAUUGGCUGUAACAGAAGUCUAAACUAGACCAACACUGAGGCGGCCCACACUAUGUUUCAGCGUAAGCCAAAGAAGGACCACCUGGAUUCAAACCCCUGCUCUGUCUUUUAACCAGCUGUGUGUGAGGCCCAAUGACUCAGCCUCCCUGAGACUAGGUUUUCUCAUCUGCAAAGUGGGGAUAAUAAUGCCUGCUUCACAGGACAGAGGUGAGAUGGUAGAGGUAUGGGGCCUGGUACAUUUUGUAAAUGAUCAGCCUGUGAGCACUGUCCCCUGCCGUCUCCCCCCAGCCUCCCCACCCUCAUGUUGCUGCUGGAGAGAAGGAUGCUUGACAGAGCAUGGGGCCACCCUCAGAUCUUAGAGUCAGGCAGGGUAUAACUAAAGGGGAACUGGGGUGCCUGGCUGGCUCAGUCAGAGAAGCCUGCGACUCUUGAUCUCAGGGUCAUGAGUUUAAGCCUGACGUUGGGUGUGGAGAUUACUUAAAUAGAUAAAACUUAAAAAAAAUAAAUAAUAAAGGCGAACUUACAGAAUUAAAAUAAACAACCCAGGUGACUGGCACCUGAGUCACUUCACCCUGGGCCCAGUUCUGCUUUAUAGAUUAAGGGGGCUGGUGGGUCAGGGGUCUCCAAAUGCAGCAGUGCUGGGGAAAUGCAGGCAGGUCCCCAGGCCUCCACCCAGACCCACCAAAUCAGAGUCCUUGAGGGUGGGCCCUGGAACCAAAUUUUUAAAAGCUCCCCAGAUAAUUCCAAGGUGCAGCUAGGUCUCAGAACUAUCAGCCAGGUGCCCCCUGAAAAGCCCUUUCAGCCGUUAGAGUCUGGGUUUCUAUUCGCAUCAAAUGCCCUGUGCCGCCGUGGGGGUCUUCUGUCUGGCCCAGAGCUCAUCUGCUGUCCUCAGAGAUAGGGCAGUUCCUCUGGUGCUGCUCACUCCACAAAACCAUGAUCCAGGACCACUGAGUGUGGAAAUAAAUCUUGAGGGGCGCCUGGGUGGCCUAGUCGGAUGAGCAUCCAACUUUGACUGAGGUCAUGAUCUCAGGGUUCAUGAGUUUGAGCCCCGCAUCGAGCUCGCUGCUGUUAACAGAGAACCCGCUUUGGAUCCUCUGUCUCCCUCUCUCUCUGCCUGUCCCCCCCU